rnacentral:sRNA from 1 species
ACACGUGAGAGGAGGUGGUCCGAAGUUGUAUAGCAACGGGACUCGUGAGGUGGCUGUCCGCUAGCCGCUGUCCUUGACAGCUCUGUAUUGACGUCGAGACCGUGUGGCAACGGCCGGCGAGCACCAGACAGCCACCCGACCCCCGGGGAUCCGGCCUUGUCCGACCGGACCAUGACCUCUCAGGAGAUCAUGGAAGUCCCCGGGGGUCGCUUUAU